CUGAGAGCCAAAGAAUUGAUGCAUUUGAACUGUGGUGUUGGAGAAGACUCUUGAGAGUCCCUUGGACUACAAGGAGGCCCAACCAGUCCAUCCUUAAGGAGAUCAGUCCUGAGUGUUCAUUGGAAGGACUGAUGCUAAAGCUGAAGCUCCAAUACUUUGGCCAUCUGAUGGGAAGAGCUGACUCAUUUGAAAAGACCCUGAUGCUGGGAAAGAUUGAGGGCAGGAGGAGAAGGGGAUGACAAAGGAUGAGAUGGUUGGAUGGCAUCACUGACUCAGUGGACAUGGGUUUGGGUGGACUCCUGGAGUUGGUGAUGGACAGGGAAACUUGGCUUGCUGCAAUUCAUGGGGUCGCAGAGUCGGAGAUGACUGAGCACCUGAACUGAACUGAAAGUGGAUGACUUGACGUUUUUAUAUAGGUGCUAUGCUGUGUGUUUAGUUACUCAGUUGUGUCCAACUCUUUGUGACCCUAUGGACUGUAGCUCAUCAGUCUUCUCUGUUCAUGGGGACUCUCCAGGCAAGAAUACUGGAGUGGGUUGCCACGCUCUUCUCUAGGGGAUCUUCCCAAUCCAGGGACUGAAUCCAGGUCUCCCACAUUGUAGAUUCUUUACCAUCUGAGCCACCAGGGAAGCCUAUGAAUACUGGAGUGGGUGGCCUAUCCUUUCUCCAGGGGAUCUUCCUGACCCAGGAAUCAAACCAGAGUCUCCUGCAUUGCAGGAGGAUUCUUCACCAGGAGGUGACUGCCAACUCCUCUGCUUGGAAGAUCCUACUGACCUUUUCUGACCGCUGCUGGACACCUCAUCUCAGAAGCCCUCCUGGUCCCUCCAGCUCCCAGGGGACCCAAUCAGUGAUGCUGGGUGCAGGACUGCUGGACAGGCACUCAGCACAGGGGACUCCUCUGUGGUCGGUGAAGAGUAGAUGCCUGGAAGGAGGAGCACAGAGAUGUUAAACAGAUCAGUGUCACAGGUUUCCCUGUUUACCAGCAUUUGGGUCAUAAUCUGUGUGCUCCUUCCCUUGUGUUGAGGAUUUUCAAAUGCCCAUGCUGGCUUCGCCUCCUUCCUCUGGAGUUUUCUUUUCUCUUGUGAGGCCCAGAUCCUGGGGAUAUGGAGAGGCGGUGCAUGGCCCUGCUGGGCAGGAUAGAGGCAGUGAUGCAGGAACACAGGGAGGCCUCCACCAUGGACUAUCCACUCAUCCCUGGGAAGGGUCUGCUCACUGAGUCUGCACUGAGGUUCAGGAACUACGCAGGGUAAGAGCUGUGGUGGAUGGUGGGUGAUAUGUUUGUUCUGGACAGGAGAGCAGUGUGAACAAAGGCAGAGAGUUAGGAUUGGGGAAUCAGGGAGUUCCCUGGGGAUGAGCAAGAAUGAAGAAGCCACACUGCAAAGAAUAAGCUAGAUUUCUAUGCCUGGAUGAAGAGAUAGCAAUGUGACACUGCAGGAAGCAAACAGGAGGUUGCAUCAUAGGAGGAUGGUGACCCCAACAUACAUGUAGAUACAGCUUUAUACACUUGCAUGUGCUAGAAAGGUCCAGAAGUUCAUGAAGCCAAUUGGAGUAUUUGUG
ensembl:lncRNA